GUCGGGCUGGGGCCUGGGUGGGGGAGGGGGUGGGGCUCGCGGGCCGUUGCCGUGGUAACGGGAACGGAGGCGCCCCUCCGCUUCGUCCGGGUCACGGCCUGCCCACCAGUACCCGUCCCCCCCCCCCCCCAGUCUUCCCAGUCUGGCCCCGGCCCCUGGCCUGUCCCCUGGUUUACUCCUGGCCCCGCUGGCUCUUUGCUCGUUCCUGAUUCCUUCCCUCCGACCCGUUCGCUGACCGCUGUGUCGGACGGGCCCUCCAGCUCCCAGCGGAGGCCUUCACGUUUUCCCAGGACGGAGGCACGUGUCAGGGGACCCCCACCAGUAAAGAGCACUUGCUUCGUCGGGGCAGCAAAGUUCAGGCCAUGUGGGCAUCCCCUGGGCACAACAGCGAGCUAGUUUCCACCACUCCCUUGGCAUCCCUUCCUGCCAAGCUGUGGGAUAAUGCGCACUGCCUGGCACUGCCCCUGCCAGGGGUUCCUGCCUUCUGCGACCGCGACGUACAGAAAACAGUAGCAUUCGGUAGUGGCCCCCCUCAGCGAGAGGGCAGGAGGGAGGGAGGCACCUGGGAGAGAGGACCGUUAGGGAGAGGCAGGAGGCAGGAAGGCCUUCAGACUCUUCCCCAGCGCCCUGGAUCACGGAGCUGGGGAUGCCUCCAGGCUGAUUAGCGGCUCUUUGUUUCAGCCCCCCCUCACCCGCCUGCUGGCCCCCCUCUUCAACUCCCCCUUCCAGUCCCUCCGCCCCCCGCUCCUGCUCUCUCCGCCUAGCCUUUUCCCCUCCCAGCCGCCUGCCUGCCAGGGGUAGUGAGCCAGCUGAGCGGCAUGGAGACGCAGAAACUUCGGGGGGCCCUGGCUCUUCUCCUCCUCUGCACUUUGGCAUCUGCCAGUCAGGACCUGCAGGUGAUUGACCUGCUGACUGUGGGCGAGUCUCGGCAGAUGACCGCUGUGGCGGAGAAGAUCCGGGCAGCCCUGCUCACUGCUGCUGACAUCUACCUCUUGUCCACCUUCCGCCUGCCCCCCAAGCAGGGUGGUGUCCUCUUUGGCCUCUACUCUCGCCAGGACAACACACGAUGGCUGGAGGUCUCAGUUGUGGGCAAAAUUAACAAAGUGCUGGUGCGGUACCAGCGGGAGGACGGCAGAGUCCACGCCGUGCACCUACAGCAGGCGGGCCUGGCCGACGGGCGCACGCACACGGCUCUCCUGCGGCUCCGCGGUCCCGCCCGACCCAGCCCUGCCCUGCAGCUCUACGUGGACUGCAAACUGGGAGACCAGCACUCUGGGCUCCCUGCAUUGGCCCCCAUUCCUCCUGCCGAGGUUGACGGGCUGGAGGUUCGGACUGGACAGAAGGCAUAUUUGAGGAUGCAGGGCUUCGUGGAAUCUAUGAAAAUGAUUCUGGGCGGGUCCAUGGCCCGGGUGGGGGCCCUGAGUGAGUGUCCAUUCCAGGGGGACGAGUCCAUCCACAGUGCAGUGGCCAGCGCACUCCACUCCAUCCUAGGGGAGCAGACCAAGGCGCUGGUCACCCAGCUCACCCUCUUCAACCAGAUCCUGGUGGAGCUGCGCGAUGAUAUCCGAGACCAGGUGAAGGAGAUGUCUCUGAUCCGAAACGCCAUCAUGGAGUGUCAGGUGUGCGGCUUCCACGAGCAGCGUUCCCACUGCAGCCCCAACCCCUGCUUCCGAGGCGUGGACUGCAUGGAAGUGUACGAGUACCCCGGCUACCGCUGUGGGCCCUGCCCCCCAGGCCUGCAGGGCAACGGCACUCACUGUGUGGACAUCGAUGAGUGUGCUCACGCUGACCCCUGCUUCCCUGGGGCCAGCUGCAUCAACACUGUGCCUGGCUUCCACUGUGAAGCCUGUCCUCGCGGCUAUAAGGGCACUCGGGUGUCCGGUGUGGGCAUCGACUACGCCCGCGCCAGCAAACAGGUCUGCAAUGAUGUGGACGAAUGCAACGACGGGAACAACGGUGGCUGUGACCCAAACUCCAUCUGCACCAACACCGUGGGCUCUUUCAAGUGUGGCCCCUGUCGCCUGGGCUUCCUGGGGAACCAGAGCCAGGGCUGCCUCCCAGCCCGCACCUGCCACAGCCCAGCCCACAGCCCCUGCCACGUCCACGCGCACUGUCUCUUUGAGCGCAACGGAGCAGUGUCCUGCGUGUGUAACGUGGGCUGGGCUGGGAACGGGAAUGUAUGUGGGACCGACACGGACAUCGAUGGCUACCCGGACCAGGCCCUGCCGUGCAUGGACAACAACAAGCACUGCAAGCAGGACAAUUGCCUUUUGACACCCAACUCUGGGCAGGAAGACGCCGACAACGACGGUGUGGGGGACCAGUGUGAUGACGACGCUGAUGGGGAUGGGAUCAAGAACGUGGAGGACAACUGCCGACUGUUCCCCAACAAGGACCAGCAAAACUCUGACACAGACUCUUUUGGGGAUGCUUGUGACAACUGCCCCAACGUCCCCAACAAUGACCAGAAGGACACAGACAGCAACGGGGAAGGGGACGCAUGUGACAAUGAUGUGGAUGGAGAUGGCAUCCCCAACGGACUGGACAAUUGCCCUAAGGUCCCUAACCCACUGCAGACAGACAGGGAUGAGGACGGGGUGGGAGAUGCCUGUGACAGCUGCCCUGAAAUGAGCAAUCCUACUCAGACAGAUGCCGACAGUGACCUGGUGGGGGAUGUCUGUGACACCAACGAGGACAGCGAUGGGGAUGGACAUCAGGACACCAAGGACAACUGCCCAGAACUGCCAAACAGCUCCCAGCUGGACUCAGACAAUGAUGGACUCGGAGACGAGUGUGAUGGGGAUGACGACAAUGACGGGGUCCCAGACUACAUGCCUCCAGGUCCUGACAACUGUCGCCUUGUACCCAACCCCAAUCAGAAGGACUCAGACGGCAAUGGCGUUGGCGAUGUGUGUGAGGAUGACUUCGACAAUGACGCAGUAGCCGACCCCCUGGACGUGUGCCCUGAGAGUGCAGAGGUGACCUUAACGGAUUUCCGGGCCUAUCAGACCGUCGUCUUGGACCCUGAGGGAGAUGCUCAGAUUGACCCAAACUGGGUUGUGCUCAACCAGGGCAUGGAAAUCGUUCAGACCAUGAACAGUGACCCUGGCUUGGCGGUCGGCUACACGGCCUUCAACGGUGUGGACUUUGAAGGCACCUUUCACGUGAACACGGUGACUGAUGACGACUACGCAGGCUUCCUUUUCAGCUAUCAGGACAGCGGCCGCUUCUACGUGGUCAUGUGGAAGCAGACGGAGCAGACCUACUGGCAGGCCACACCCUUCCGGGCUGUCGCGCAGCCAGGGCUGCAGCUCAAGGCGGUGACAUCUGUGUCAGGCCCGGGUGAGCACCUCCGGAAUGCCCUGUGGCAUACUGGCCACACCCCCGAUCAGGUCCGGCUGCUGUGGACUGACCCCCGAAACGUGGGCUGGCGGGACAAGACUUCCUACCGCUGGCAGCUGCUGCACCGGCCUCAAGUGGGCUACAUCCGCACCCACGGACGCCCCUGUCCUGGGCAGGGUGAAGCUCUAUGAGGGUCCUCAGCUGGUGGCGGACUCUGGGGUGGUCAUUGACACAGCCAUGCGGGGAGGCCGUCUGGGCGUAUUCUGCUUCUCUCAAGAAAACAUCAUUUGGUCCAAUCUCCAGUAUCGAUGCAAUGACACGGUGCCCGAGGACUUUGAGCCAUUCCGGAGGCAGCUGCUCCAGGGAAGGGUGUGAAGAGGCGGCCCCCGAGGGAUUCCGAAUCCCGAUUUUAGACCCUCUGGCCUUGGGAUCCAUCCUGGAGACCCUGGGGUCUAACUUACAGCCACUCAAGCAAACACAGACCCUUCUCCAGCACCCACAGGAGUUCCGCCCCAGAAGGGUGGUGACCCCACGGUUCAGGAGUUGGGACAUUUUCAAGGGCUGCUAUUCUCAGGCACUAACCCCAGGAAAGAGAACAGCACGUUGCCAUAAAGGUCCGGUGGUUUUCUAAGCUA